rnacentral:lncRNA from 1 species
CCAAGCCCCAAUAUAACUGCUGUCUGAGCUGUUUUCUCUGAAGAGUCAUAUAAGAAAUAGUUGCAUUGCUGGAGGAAAGACCAUGACAACUGGGAACCAAAGCCAAAGACUCAGUAUGAUAACUCUGACAGUGUUAGGACUCGUCUGCUUAGCUCUACUCCCCACCACAGAUUCAAAGUCUCUCUGCCCAGCACAAUUGCAUGUUUUGGAAUUGUUUUUAACUGGGAAUAAAGAGAACUUCAUUAAUGCAGUAAGGAAUUUUGCCUCAGAUAAUGAAACAAUAGACACUGCGAGGAAAUUCAAAAGCUGUGUGGACUCGACUCUGAAGCCUCAAGAUCAAAAUGUGACUUUUGGUUUUGUGGAGUACCUCUCUGAAGAUGUAUGCUGAAAAACUUUAUAAGCCAAGCUGAUGGACCACCAUGCAAGACCUCUGUGCUCCUUAAACCAUGCUUGUUGACCAUCAUCCAGACUUGCUGACUUUCUUUCACUGAUCCCAGCUUGGGCUCCUGACCAGGCCAUCAUGAUUCUACUACUUUGUGCUGUAGGGAACCCUUUGCCUCUACCCUAAUCAGGUCAUUCCCAGGGACCAGAAUCUUAUGAUAUAUUAAAUUCCAUGCAAUUCAGGACUCAGUGU